rnacentral:misc_RNA from 1 species
GAUGAAGAACGCAGCGAAAUGCGAUAAGUAAUGUGAAUUGCAGAAUUCAGUGAAUCAUCGAAUCUUUGAACGCACAUUGCGCCCGCUAGUAUUCUGGCGGGCAUGCCUGUCCGAGCGCCAUUUCAACCCUCAAGCCCCCGGGCUUGGUGUUGGGGAUCGGCGAGCCUCCGCGCCCGCCGUCCCCUAAAUCUAGUGGCGGUCUCGCUGUAGCUUCCUCUGCGUAGUAGCACACCUCGCACUGGGAAACAGCGCGGCCACGCCGUUAAACCCCCAACUUCUGAACGUUUGACCUCGGAUCAGGUAGGAAUACCCGCUGAACUUAAGCAUAUCAAUAAGCGGAGGA